rnacentral:rRNA from 1 species
AUGGACUUAAUUGCUUCCAUUACCGAAGAGAACAAAAGAAGAAACAUGAAAAGGACUGUAUUGACAACAAUGUAUAUUGAGUCAGUUUGUCUUGCACUAGCUUAUCUUAGUAUGCAAAGGGCAGCAAAGAAUUUAGGAUGCUUCGGUGAUGAGGAGCAUCCGUAUGAUCUUAGGAAGUAUUUGCUCAAAGAAAUAUAUAAUGGUUCAGAAGUAACUUGUUAUGAUGAGUUGCGAUUAACUAAAAGAAACUUCCAUGAUUUACGUUCUAUGUUGCGUGAGAAGUGUGGCUUGGUUGACAACAUAUAUGUGAUUGUAGAAAAGGUUGCAAUGCUUUUAUUGGUGGUUGGACAUGGUCUUAAGAUGAGGUUGCCCCGCGGCACUUACAAGUGUUCUUUAGAGACUAUUAGUAGGCACUUCUCAAGUGUGUUAAAAGCCAUCCUUUCCCUAAGUGGGGAGUUUAUAAAGCUUUCGGAUCCUUCUGUUGAACCUCCAAAUGAUUACAAAUUAUGGUUUGGCAAUGCAUUGGGAGCACUAGACGGGUGUCAUGUUGACGUCUCUGUUGUUCCGGUUGACCAAGGUAGGUAUAAGAAUAGAAAGCAAGAUAUCACCAAAACAUUCUAG